rnacentral:snRNA from 1 species
AGGUAUGAGGACAGUUUGUCCCAGAACAUGCCUCCUCGUGGGUCACUAAGGUGAGUGUGACUGAUCCGGCUGGCUAGGCAGGCUGGCUAGGCAAGUGUCCCCUUCCUAUUUCAGCAUUCUGGGUGCUUCCUGCUUUUUGCUCUAAGUGGCCAACCUCCUGGAGAGAGCCAAGGGCAUGCAAGUAAGUGCACUCCCUUGCUAGGAUCUCCAAACAAACUCUCAGAAGCAGCCUCAUAAGGAGCUUCAGGAAAGAGAAUAGACCCACUGUAGGGGCUGUGUUGGAACCUCCACCCAUCAGACCCC